GGCAAGAUGGCCGAGUUGGUCCAAGGCGUACGGUUCAGGUUCACCUGAUCCAGAUUUCCGUAUCUCGUUUUCGGGGCGUGGGUUCAAAUCCCACUCUUGUCA
rnacentral:tRNA from 1 species